AGACAAACAUAUUGAAAUUGUGUAGAAGACUCCUGAGGGCAAAAGAAAGAAGAUAUAUCCGGUGGCAGAAUGAAGAGAUUACAUAACCUGAUCUCCAAGUCAUUUACAGAUAUGUGUAGUGACAGAGAAGUUCUAAAAAGACCAGGCGUUUUCUACAGAAUUUUUUACUUAUUUCCAAUUUGAAGGAAGCUUGCUUUUCCUCUGAUGUCCAGUUUGGAUGCUGAAGGAAGAAGAAUGUGGUCCUGCAAUCCCUCCCCACAUGCAAACUCACAUUUUAACCUCUAGGAUCACUUUGCCUGAAAUCCAGCGUUUUGACA